rnacentral:tRNA from 1 species
UGUGGCAGAAUAGUGCAAUAAAUUUAAGAUUUAUAAAUAAAGUAACCUUUCCUUAG